rnacentral:lncRNA from 1 species
GGAACAUAUGGAGGUGGGAUUUUACUGUGUUAAGCUUGCGCUCCACUUUUUUCUUCUGUCUCUAAUUAUUAUUGGGUUGGGUUAUUAUUAUUACAUUUAAUGGGGAAUCUUAGAGUAGAAAAAAAUCAAGAAUCUACUGUCUUCACAGAACUUAUUUUUAUAUUGUAAACCCUUGAGCCUUUUGACUUCAACACCAGUUCACACAAAACCAAAUUAAUCUAUUAAACCAACAAAUGCAAAACCCUCCAAAAUAACAAGUGGUUAUUUCAGACCACAGGUAGAAUAAAUAAAAUCUUAAAUGUUUGAAACGUUUGUUUGUUUGUUUGUUUGUUUUUGAUAAAAAUCAUUACCCUUGAGGAUGCCUCUACCAAAAAUUAAGAAUGUCAUAAAUUUUGGUAACUAACAAUGUAGCUUUCUCUCCAGUUAAAAUUUUCAUCUUUAGAUGAUCUAAGAAUGAAAAAAAGCACAGAGUCUGUAGUUUUUUUUUGAAAUGUCACCACAUUUGUUGUUGUUGUUGUUAAUGGCAGUGAAGUGCUAUUUCAUAAGCUUGACAUUGUAAGUGUUCUUCUAAAUUAAACUCUGGGAUUUGUUAUUUCAGACUUCCUGUUCAGCAAGCCCCAAGCCUCGUGACAGGACUUCUGCUCUGUUUACCAAUAGUGUGAGUCAGGGCUUGUGGUUGUGGCACAGUCAGCCCCACAGCAGCUUUAUCUCCUCUGACUUGAGGGAAGCCACCAAUGGACUGGAAGGGGAAUCUGGAAGAUCCAUUGGUCCUGAGACUUCAACUCUGCAUGCUGUGAUUGCUUUGGCUCUGACCUCGAGGAAUGAAUGUUUUCUGACUUCUGCGUAAAGGCUAGAAGACAAAGAAGAGAGAAUGUGUGUUCUGUCAGCAGCUAAGAGCACAGAUCUGGUUACUGAUCAAGACUGAAGCGAGGCUGAGAAAAUGCAGAACUGAG